rnacentral:sRNA from 1 species
UAGCCGAAGCCGGUGACAUAACAACCAGC